UCGCGUGCGCGCGCGUUCGCCAGCGCAGCGACUCUUCCACUUGGAGAAACUGCGGGCGGGCGCGUUAAGCGCAGCCGUCGACGACGCCGCCUCCGAGCGCCUCUCUUGUUUGUCGGUUACUGGCUCCUCCGCGAAGGAAUGCGAUAUUUCGGGAAGUCGGGCCGAAGCCCGACGGGGAAGCUGCCCUGAGUCAAAACAGGCGCACACCGUGCUGUCGACAUGCCCGGCCUUCGCAGGGCCCCACCACCAAGCACCGCCGCCGAUCCGCGGAGUCGAGCGAGGCGCGCGCGUUGCACCUCGAGAAAAGCGUCCCCGAGGAAGUUGUCCGAGUUCGUCGCCGCGCGAGUUGAGUGACUGAGUCGAGCGCCGAAACGACACGACGCUAACGCUGCGGCGUUCUGGGCGAAUCGCUGUCUGUGGCUGGAACGAGUGCCAAGAUAGAAGCGACGUCACUACGACGCGCGCGACUGCUAAGACGACGUUUAGCAACGGUGGCGACCUUGUCGGACUUAUCCAACCUGUCCCGUCGAAGAAGAGGACUUCAUUCCUCCUCUGACUACCUACGCUGACUUUUUCCUUCUUUACUUCUUUCCUCGGCCGUUGGAGAAUUAGUGGUGGGCCGAGUUGCGCAGAAAGAAGCGGAGACGGAAACAGGCAAAUGACAAGACUCCGGACGAAGCGCUAACUUCGGAGGGUUCGCCAUGGGCACGCCGGCGCGAACGAGUGCCGACAUCUCCCCCGGCGAAGGUGACCGAGAGCGCAAACUCGGAGAACUGCCGUCCCCGAGCGAAGAGGACGCCACCAUCGGACUCGAAAAUGUCACGCGACCUGGCGAGGACCGUCUCAGGAAUACGAGCCUGCUGUCCAGGCUUAGCCAGUACACAUGGCUUGUGCCACUUAUACACACCCACUUCUGGGUGUCUGCGGCAUUCUCCCUUAUGCAGCCCUACUAUCCUCGCCUCGCGGCAAACGCUGGUCUCGAAGCGUGGAAGUACGGCUUCGUGUUUUCAACAUUCAAGCUAACAAUGCUUCUUGGAUCUGUAUCCACCGAAAGGCUUAUGGUUCUUUCGACUCCACUGAAAUGCUACCUCUGUGGCCAGGUUGGCUUUUUCCUGUACAAUGUCAUAUUCGGGUCCCUUUACUGGUCACCGGGGGGAACCGUAUUCCUCGCUCUCUCCCUGGUGGCGGUCAUCUUCGGCGGCUUCGUGCAAACAGUGUAUCUUGUCUCAGCGUACUCAGUAGUCACCUCUGAGUUGCAUCAGAGCAGUGGCGUCAUCAUCGCCAUCAUGGAAUUCAUGUUUGGAUGCGGGAACAUGGCUGGUUCUGUGCUCGGAGGAGCCCUCAUCGAUUUGUGGGAAUAUCCUCUGCCGUUCUUUGUCCUGGGUACCAUAAUCAUCCUGUCGAUUCCUUGGAUUAUCAAGCACAAGAAAGUACCGAACAAACAACCUGAAGCGCCACCGGAAGGGGCCUUAAUGCUGGCCCAAGGUUCGGAGAAAAAGCUUUAUCGACUGCUUUGGGACCCACUUUUCAUGGUCAACAUGGUAACACUGAUGCUUUCUUGGGUCAUCAUGGGCUUCAAUGAACCCACCCUGGAACCAUACUUGAGACAGUUCAGCCUCAGCAGCACGCGACUUGGAGUACUGUACAUGGUACAGUUUGCAAGUUACACCGUGGGAGCGGCAUUCGCGGGACUGUUUUGUUACGUCAAGAUGGCAGCAUUUUUUGCUUUUACCGGUCAACUAAUGACGGCUUUCGCCUACCUGAUACUUGGCCCAGCACCAUUUGUUCAACAAGACCCCUCUGGAUGGUCUACGUCUCCCAGACGUUCACGGGUGUUGGUAUGGCUGCUCAGUUCAUCUGCAGCUUUUCGUUGGCGCUCAGCCAUACAGCUAAGCGAGGGUACCCAGAUGACAUACGUACUACUGGAUUCGUGUCAACUGUUGUAGUGACAUUCUUGGUUAUUGGUGCCAUUACGACCCCUCCAAUAGCAGGGCUUCUCGUAGAAAAGUUCAGCUACAGACCGGGAUCUAUGUUCCUCUUUGGCAUCCUGUUAUUCUGGACACCCAUAACGCUUCUUCACUGGAUUUAUUUGAUGUACACUCAACGAACGAGGAGAGCCAAUGUAGCAUCGCGGGAUCGAUUCAUUUUUUCUCGGAAGUCAUGAAUGUGCCAGCAGUUGUCAUUUGGUGUCAAUAAUAAAUAUAUAUUCAUUUUUUGUA
rnacentral:misc_RNA from 1 species